GAUGAACGCUGGCGGCGUGCCUAAUACAUGCAAGUCGAGCGAACAGACGAGGAGCUUGCUCCUUUGACGUUAGCGGCGGACGGGUGAGUAACACGUAGGUAACCUACCUAUAAGACUGGGAUAACUUCGGAAAACCGGAGCUAAUACCGGAUAAUAUUUCGAACCGCAUGGUUCGAUAGUGAAAGAUGGCUUUGCUAUCACUUAUAGAUGGACCUGCGCCGUAUUAGCUAGUUGGUAAGGUAACGGCUUACCAAGGCAACGAUACGUAGCCGACCUGAGAGGGUGAUCGGCCACACUGGAACUGAGACACGGUCCAGACUCCUACGGGAGGCAGCAGUAGGGAACCUUCCGCAAUGGGCGAAAGCCUGACGGAGCAACGCCGCGUGAGUGAUGAAGGUCUUCGGAUCGUAAAACUCUGUUAUUAGGGAAGAACAAACGUGUAAGUAACUGUGCACGUCUUGACGGUACCUAAUCAGAAAGCCACGGCUAACUACGUG
rnacentral:rRNA from 1 species